rnacentral:rRNA from 1 species
GACGAACGCUGGCGGCGUGCUUAACACAUGCAAGUCGAACGGAAAGGCCCUGCUUUUGUGGGGUGCUCGAGUGGCGAACGGGUGAGUAACACGUGAGUAACCUGCCCUUGACUUUGGGAUAACUUCAGGAAACUGGGGCUAAUACCGGAUAGGAGCUCCUGCUGCAUGGUGGGGGUUGGAAAGUUUCGGCGGUUGGGGAUGGACUCGCGGCUUAUCAGCUUGUUGGUGGGGUAGUGGCUUACCAAGGCUUUGACGGGUAGCCGGCCUGAGAGGGUGACCGGCCACAUUGGGACUGAGAUACGGCCCAGACUCCUACGGGAGGCAGCAGUGGGGAAUAUUGCACAAUGGGCGGAAGCCUGAUGCAGCAACGCCGCGUGCGUGAUGACGGCCUUCGGGUGGUAAACCGCUUUCGCCUGUGACGAAGCGUGAGUGACGGUAAUGGGUAAAGAAGCACCGGCUAACUACGUG